rnacentral:lncRNA from 1 species
CUUCGAACGUGAUGAGGUGGGCCUCUCUUGUCGUCCUUAGGGGUCCAUUGUCAACGCUGACCGUUGCUCGCUGCCCAUUUAUGAUGAUUAUGCCAUCGUCCACUACUACAGCAUUGAUGCAACAGGAUGGUGGUGGCCAGGUGGCUGGGUUGCGUGCGUCAUGAAGCAGAGCCGCCGGCGUGUACUUCGCGACAUAAAGACAAUUUUAACCUGGGAGUAUUCUACUUAAAUAUGAAAUGAAAAAUUCUUAUAUUCUUACAUACUCCCAACAAAUAAGCUACUGGGACCUCUGUGAGCUGUUCGGUAAAAAUAGAUUUUAGGUCUUAGUGGGAUAUUCGCUUUGGCAAGUGUGAUCGUAAUCAUGAGAUUUGGACUACCGAAAUUAGCAUCCUGUUUCUGUGCCUCUGUGUUAAUCAGUACUCAGUUAAUCAGUCUAUGAUUCUACAAGCUGCUAUUUUUUCGAAGCCCAACUCGUCGGGGGUACUUGCUACGACCUUUAAUGCUGUUAUCAGGAAGUCUAGGCUUCUGGCCAUGUAUCAUUAAAGCGGACAACGGAUUUUUUUAUGUUCUAUAUCUGAAUGUGGGAACAACUCCAACAUUUUAACUGUAUAAAAGGCGAUGAUCCGCGCAGUUGUAGUAGAAGGGAGUAGGAAGAGUAUUCCGUCAAACCUGCGGGAAUGAUACCUUAAAUCUGUAAAACAAAAGUUUGAAUUAUUUCAGAUUGUUCUUAUGGACCACCCUCCCCUUAAUUAGAACUGCCGUUCCAAGGUCCGCUUGUACCCGUUCUUCUGAGUACAGCGGGGUCUUUUGUUAUUCCUUGGGUAAACCUUUUCACCCACUUCAAAGACUCUGUUCUGCCUCGAGAUGUUAAACCUGUCGAUAUUGGCCUUUUGUGCCUUAUCAAUUCUGGUUCUAAUUGCUAACUUCAGAUCGUUGUUGCUUACAUGGAUUGCUUCUACAGGCUUCUGGUCUAUGACCGAAUGUAGUGUCCUGUUGUAUUCUACAGUGGCGCGCAUGAUUAGCUCGACGGUGUCCUCAAUCUUUUGGUCGAGUUCUAUGCACCUUGCUAUCUCUGCCAACGUGCUGUGAAAUCUCUCUACUUGUAGGUUAUUAAUGUUUUGUCUGGACAAGGCGUCGACCACGAAGUUUUCCUUACCCGGUUUGUAGAACACCUUAGCGUUAUGUUCCUCUAUAAAGGCUUUCCACCGUUUGAUUUUGGCAUUUGUGUUCCUAUCGGACACAGCAAAUGUGAAGGGCUGGUGAUCGGUAAAGAUUCUUACUUCCUUGGUACCGUAUAAGUAAUUUUGUAACUUCCCUAUAGCCCAUACAAUUGCCAACAAUUCCCUUUCGUUUGUGGCGUAGUUUACUUCACAAUCU